GUACUCUGCAGAUGUUGGAUUCCUACAGCUUUGUGAAGGAAUACAUCUCCAGCAGUACCAGUAGAAUAGAUAGUUGUCCAUCUUCUCAUGUUAAAAGACUGGUGACCCAGGCUUCAUCUAACACAUCUGUCUUUAAUAUCUUUAGUGCAAGAGCUGCUGCAGGUCCAGAAGAGCACUGAGCCCUCACCAGGCCCUGUACCAGGGAUCGCCCCAACCCCCGCCCCUGUACCCCAGCCCCCUCCACCCCCACCACCACCCCCUCCUCCUCCUCCACCCCCUCCUCCAUCACGAUGCAACCCCCUCAGCUCACUGAUUGCAAUCAUGAGGAAAUCAUCCAAGAGUUCAAAGGGGGGAUCCCCAAAGUUACAGCAAGCUCCUGAAGGAGGUGCAGAAGGAGGUGCAGAAGGAGGUGCAGAUAACGUCAAAGUGAAGGCAGUCAAUGAGAUGAUGGAGAGGAUUAAACAUGGAGUGGUUCUGAGGCCUGUCAAGGGAGGAGACACUAAGGUGGAGAGGUCAACACUUCAUGUUUUGUUUAAAUAAUUGUCUUGGAAAAUUGUGGAAAUAUAGACUCUACUUAAUGUUGUCAAAUUGUGGAAAUAUAGACUCUACUUAAUGUUCUCAAACUGUGGAAAUAUAGACUCUACUUAAUGUUGUCAAACUGAUUACUCCCUUAUUUUUCCAUCCAUGUCAUGUUUUCUAAUCAACUGACUGUCUCCCCA